CCGCGCGUGUUUGAUCCUGUUUGUGUGGCGCAGUUGAAAUCAAAAAUUCUCAAGUCGAAUCGCGUGUGCUCGUGAAGGAACAACAUCCGGCGUUCGGAACAAAUACACCGGGUGACCGAAUCGGAACGGCUCUGGGAUGGCGGAAUUUUCGCAUAUUUGGGGACUUCUUCUACCAGGCCCGGCGCCUGCUGGACACUUCCGGCCGGAUUUGUUCAGGAUGGUCGUUUCGUCUGGAGGCGAAAAUCGUUAGGUAAGUUGUGUGUUAAUGCUCAACGGUGAACGUUCAAACAACGGUCAAGGAAAAGGUCACGAAAAGAAUUGUGUUGAGUGGUACGCAACUGAAAAUAACAGAAACAGAAAGUAGCGUUUGACGUUUAUUGACACGGUGCCUGUGUUAAAUUUGUUUUGAUGAAUAAAUAAAAUAAUAGAAUUUGCAAAUUUGAAUGCCACUGAUAAUUACAAAUGUUUAUAUAAUUUUGUUUUUAAUGUAAACAUAUAGAGCUGCUCAUCAGACCGAAUCUCAAAAUGCUGAAUCUUGGAAGGAAAUUAGGCAAUUAGGAUAUUAGGAAAUUAGGAAAUUAGGGAAUAAGAAAAUUUGGAAA